rnacentral:rRNA from 1 species
UAGGUCGACCCGCUGAAUUUAAGCAUAUCACUAAGCGGAGGAAAAGAAACUAACCAGGAUUCCCCUAGUAACGGCGAGUGAAGAGGGAAAAGCCCAGCACCGAAGCCUGUGGCAAUUUUGCUGCUAGGCAAUGUGGUGUUUAGGUCGGCUCGUGGGAUCGCCACUCCACUCGAAGUCCAGCAUUGAGUAUGGUUCCCAGGAAUUGGCCCAUAGAGGGUGAAAGGCCCGUACGAGUGGAUGUGUCAGAUAUGUAAGGCGAUUCACCAGGCCGGCCUUAGAGUCGGGUUGUUUGCGAAUGCAGCCCAAAGUGGGUGGUAAACUCCAUCCAAGGCUAAAUACUAGCACGAGUCCGAUAGCGAACAAGUACCGUGAGGGAAAGUUGAAAAGUACUUUGAAGAGAGAGUAAACAGUACGUGAAACCGCAUAGAGGUAAACGGGUGGCGUCAAGCUGCAAGCCCAGAGAAUUCAGUCGGUCAGGGUGUUGUCAUGCGCCCAGCGCAUCUAUCAGUCGGUGUAGGAUUUGGCUAGUCCGCUUGAAGAUGGCGGGCCCAGCUAGCAAUAGCUGGGAUUUGCGUACCGGGCGGUAGCCGGAGCAUGCUAGCCGUCUGUAGGACUGCCUGGCCGAUGCACUUUCUCUGUUGGUGAACACCACGACCGGUGGUACUGCCAGUCUGCUGUAGCCAGCUUCGUUGCAUACUCUGGCCUUUUGGUUGGGGCGUGUGGCGAUCACAGACAAUUUCAGUGCACGGUGCUUGUGUGUUUUUCGCAUGCGGGCAUGUUAUCGGGAACUGGUUGUAAACGGGUCGGCCUGUCGACUUGUCUGUAGUCGUGGUUGAUGGGUGACCCGGUGGGCUAUGGUGGUAUGAAUAACUGUGCAGGGCACCGGAGUUUUCGGUCCGACCAGCAGUAGUCGUUCGCGGCUGCUGUUGCCGGCUGCAUACGCACUGCAGUUUAGCGUGUGCACUGUCUUUGGCAGUAGUACGGGCGGCGCUGUUUACGGCCUGCCAGUCGUUGGGUCUGAUUGUCGUGUCGCCUGCCAAAAUGGUGGGUCCGGCGGUGGCCUGGCGUUGGAUGGUGCCUGUAGACGGAGCUGUCGUUGUGCAGCCGGUAUUUGUGUGCGCGACCUUAUAGUCUGUGGUGUAGUGGUAGACGAGCUACCCGACCCGUCUUGAAACACGGACCAAGGAGUUUAACAUGCGCGCGAGUCAUUGGGUCCUACGAAACCCAGAGGCGCAGUGAAAGUAAAGCUUCGACAUAUAUUGUUCUCGUGGUGUGGUGAGAUCCUGCUGUUUCUCGCAUACAUUUGUCCAGCACUGGGCUAACUAAACGAGCAGUGGGCGCAUCACCGGCCCGUCCCAUGAUGUGGCUAUCUGUCAGUGGCAGUUGUCGCCUUACGGUGGUGGUUGCUUUCUGCGGGUACGUCAUCGGGGCGGAGCAUGAGCGCGCAUGUUGAGACCCGAAAGAUGGUGAACUAUGCUUGCGUAGGUUGAAGCCAGAGGAAACUCUGGUGGAGGACCGCAGCGAUUCUGACGUGCAAAUCGAUCGUCAAACGUGAGUAUAGGGGCGAAAGACUAAUCGAACCAUCUAGUAGCUGGUUCCCUCCGAAGUUUCCCU